UGCUCAGGACGAACGCUGGCGGCGUGCCUAAUACAUGCAAGUCGAACGAACUCUGGUAUUGAUUGGUGCUUGCAUCAUGAUUUACAUUUGAGUGAGUGGCGAACUGGUGAGUAACACGUGGGAAACCUGCCCAGAAGCGGGGGAUAACACCUGGAAACAGAUGCUAAUACCGCAUAACAACUUGGACCGCAUGGUCCGAGCUUGAAAGAUGGCUUCGGCUAUCACUUUUGGAUGGUCCCGCGGCGUAUUAGCUAGAUGGUGGGGUAACGGCUCACCAUGGCAAUGAUACGUAGCCGACCUGAGAGGGUAAUCGGCCACAUUGGGACUGAGACACGGCCCAAACUCCUACGGGAGGCAGCAGUAGGGAAUCUUCCACAAUGGACGAAAGUCUGAUGGAGCAACGCCGCGUGAGUGAAGAAGGGUUUCGGCUCGUAAAACUCUGUUGUUAAAGAAGAACAUAUCUGAGAGUAACUGUUCAGGUAUUGACGGUAUUUAACCAGAAAGCCACGGCUAACUACGUGCCAGCAGCCGCGGUAAUACGUAGGUGGCAAGCGUUGUCCGGAUUUAUUGGGCGUAAAGCGAGCGCAGGCGGUUUUUUAAGUCUGAUGCUCGUAAAGCCUUCGGCUCAACCGAAGAAGUGCAUCGGAAACUGGGGAAACUUGAGUGCAGAAGAGGACAGUGGAACUCCAUGUGUAGCGGUGAAAUGCGUAGAUAUAUGGAAGAACACCAGUGGCGAAGGCGGCUGUCUGGUCUGUAACUGACGCUGAGGCUCGAAAGUAUGGGUAGCAAACAGGAUUAGAUACCCUGGUAGUCCAUACCGUAAACGAUGAAUGCUAAGUGUUGGAGGGUUUCCGCCCUUCAGUGCUGCAGCUAACGCAUUAAGCAUUCCGCCUGGGGAGUACGGCCGCAAGGCUGAAACUCAAAGGAAUUGACGGGGGCCCGCACAAGCGGUGGAGCAUGUGGUUUAAUUCGAAGCUACGCGAAGAACCUUACCAGGUCUUGACAUACUAUGCAAAUCUAAGAGAUUAGACGUUCCCUUCGGGGACAUGGAUACAGGUGGUGCAUGGUUGUCGUCAGCUCGUGUCGUGAGAUGUUGGGUUAAGUCCCGCAACGAGCGCAACCCUUAUUAUCAGUUGCCAGCAUUAAGUUGGGCACUCUGGUGAGACUGCCGGUGACAAACCGGAGGAAGGUGGGGAUGACGUCAAAUCAUCAUGCCCCUUAUGACCUGGGCUACACACGUGCUACAAUGGAUGGUACAACGAGUUGCGAACUCGCGAGAGUAAGCUAAUCUCUUAAAGCCAUUCUCAGUUCGGAUUGUAGGCUGCAACUCGCCUACAUGAAGUCGGAAUCGCUAGUAAUCGCGGAUCAGCAUGCCGCGGGUGAAAUACGUUCCCGGGCCUUGUACACACCGCCCGUCACACCAUGAGAGUUUGUAACACCCAAAGUCGGUGGGGUAACCUUUUAGGAACCAGCCGCCUAAGGUGGGACAGAUGAUUAGGGUGAAGUCU
rnacentral:rRNA from 1 species